rnacentral:rRNA from 1 species
GUGUCAGCAGCCGCGGUAAUACAGAGGGUGCGAGCGUUGUCCGGAAUCACUGGGCGUAAAGGGCGCGUAGGUGGCCCGACAAGUCAGUGGUGAAAGCUCGAUGCUCAACAUCGAGUCGGCCACUGAUACUGUUGGGCUGGAGCACUGUAGAGGCUCAUGGAAUUCCGGGUGUAGCGGUGGAAUGCGUAGAGAUCCGGAAGAACACCGGUGGCGAAGGCGGUGAGCUGGGCAGUUGCUGACACUGAGGCGCGACAGCGUGGGGAGCAAACAGGAUUAGAAACCCUUGUAGUCC